rnacentral:snRNA from 1 species
GGGUAUGGGGAUAAUCUGGCUGGUUAAACUUGUGUCCCCUUCCUCCCUCACUGCUCUAUGUGCAGUUCUCCCAAAGCUGUACAUUUAGUCAAAGAGGACAACCUUCCCCAGCGUAGAACCAGUCUUCUCUCAAGGCUAUAUGAGUAGCUGAGUUUCCCCUGUCAGAACUUGUAAAACAAGCCCUCAAAAGCAAUUCCAUUAGCUCGAGAGAUGGCUCGGGGGUUAGGAGCAACGCCAUAUGGGUACUAGGAAUUGAACUGAUAU